CUAUCAUUAACUGAAUCCAUAGGUUAAUGAGGCGAACCGGGGGAACUGAAACAUCUAAGUACCCCGAGGAAAAGAAAUCAACCGAGAUUCCCCCAGUAGCGGCGAGCGAACGGGGAGCAGCCCAGAGCCUGAAUCAGUGUGUGUGUUAGUGGAAGCGUCUGGAAAGGCGCGCGAUACAGGGUGACAGCCCCGUACACAAAAAUGCACAUGCUGUGAGCUCGAUGAGUAGGGCGGGACACGUGGUAUCCUGUCUGAAUAUGGGGGGACCAUCCUCCAAGGCUAAAUACUCCUGACUGACCGAUAGUGAACCAGUACCGUGAGGGAAAGGCGAAAAGAACCCCGGCGAGGGGAGUGAAAAAGAACCUGAAACCGUGUACGUACAAGCAGUGGGAGCACGCUUAGGCGUGUGACUGCGUACCUUUUGUAUAAUGGGUCAGCGACUUAUAUUCUGUAGCAAGGUUAACCGAAUAGGGGAGCCGAAGGGAAACCGAGUCUUAACUGGGCGUUAAGUUGCAGGGUAUAGACCCGAAACCCGGUGAUCUAGCCAUGGGCAGGUUGAAGGUUGGGUAACACUAACUGGAGGACCGAACCGACUAAUGUUGAAAAAUUAGCGGAUGACUUGUGGCUGGGGGUGAAAGGCCAAUCAAACCGGGAGAUAGCUGGUUCUCCCCGAAAGCUAUUUAGGUAGCGCCUCGUGAAUUCAUCUCCGGGGGUAGAGCACUGUUUCGGCAAGGGGGUCAUCCCGACUUACCAACCCGAUGCAAACUGCGAAUACCGGAGAAUGUUAUCACGGGAGACACACGGCGGGUGCUAACGUCCGUCGUGAAGAGGGAAACAACCCAGACCGCCAGCUAAGGUCCCAAAGUCAUGGUUAAGUGGGAAACGAUGUGGGAAGGCCCAGACAGCCAGGAUGUUGGCUUAGAAGCAGCCAUCAUUUAAAGAAAGCGUAAUAGCUCACUGGUCGAGUCGGCCUGCGCGGAAGAUGUAACGGGGCUAAACCAUGCACCGAAGCUGCGGCAGCGACGCUUAUGCGUUGUUGGGUAGGGGAGCGUUCUGUAAGCCUGCGAAGGUGUGCUGUGAGGCAUGCUGGAGGUAUCAGAAGUGCGAAUGCUGACAUAAGUAACGAUAAAGCGGGUGAAAAGCCCGCUCGCCGGAAGACCAAGGGUUCCUGUCCAACGUUAAUCGGGGCAGGGUGAGUCGACCCCUAAGGCGAGGCCGAAAGGCGUAGUCGAUGGGAAACAGGUUAAUAUUCCUGUACUUGGUGUUACUGCGAAGGGGGGACGGAGAAGGCUAUGUUGGCCGGGCGACGGUUGUCCCGGUUUAAGCGUGUAGGCUGGUUUUCCAGGCAAAUCCGGAAAAUCAAGGCUGAGGCGUGAUGACGAGGCACUACGGUGCUGAAGCAACAAAUGCCCUGCUUCCAGGAAAAGCCUCUAAGCAUCAGGUAACAUCAAAUCGUACCCCAAACCGACACAGGUGGUCAGGUAGAGAAUACCAAGGCGCUUGAGAGAACUCGGGUGAAGGAACUAGGCAAAAUGGUGCCGUAACUUCGGGAGAAGGCACGCUGAUAUGUAGGUGAAGUCCCUCGCGGAUGGAGCUGAAAUCAGUCGAAGAUACCAGCUGGCUGCAACUGUUUAUUAAAAACACAGCACUGUGCAAACACGAAAGUGGACGUAUACGGUGUGACGCCUGCCCGGUGCCGGAAGGUUAAUUGAUGGGGUCAGCGCAAGCGAAGCUCUUGAUCGAAGCCCCGGUAAACGGCGGCCGUAACUAUAACGGUCCUAAGGUAGCGAAAUUCCUUGUCGGGUAAGUUCCGACCUGCACGAAUGGCGUAAUGAUGGCCAGGCUGUCUCCACCCGAGACUCAGUGAAAUUGAACUCGCUGUGAAGAUGCAGUGUACCCGCGGCAAGACGGAAAGACCCCGUGAACCUUUACUAUAGCUUGACACUGAACAUUGAGCCUUGAUGUGUAGGAUAGGUGGGAGGCUUUGAAGUGUGGACGCCAGUCUGCAUGGAGCCGACCUUGAAAUACCACCCUUUAAUGUUUGAUGUUCUAACGUUGACCCGUAAUCCGGGUUGCGGACAGUGUCUGGUGGGUAGUUUGACUGGGGCGGUCUCCUCCUAAAGAGUAACGGAGGAGCACGAAGGUUGGCUAAUCCUGGUCGGACAUCAGGAGGUUAGUGCAAUGGCAUAAGCCAGCUUGACUGCGAGCGUGACGGCGCGAGCAGGUGCGAAAGCAGGUCAUAGUGAUCCGGUGGUUCUGAAUGGAAGGGCCAUCGCUCAACGGAUAAAAGGUACUCCGGGGAUAACAGGCUGAUACCGCCCAAGAGUUCAUAUCGACGGCGGUGUUUGGCACCUCGAUGUCGGCUCAUCACAUCCUGGGGCUGAAGUAGGUCCCAAGGGUAUGGCUGUUCGCCAUUUAAAGUGGUACGCGAGCUGGGUUUAGAACGUCGUGAGACAGUUCGGUCCCUAUCUGCCGUGGGCGCUGGAGAACUGAGGGGGGCUGCUCCUAGUACGAGAGGACCGGAGUGGACGCAUCACUGGUGUUCGGGUUGUCAUGCCAAUGGCACUGCCCGGUAGCUAAAUGCGGAAGAGAUAAGUGCUGAAAGCAUCUAAGCACGAAACUUGCCCCGAGAUGAGUUCUCCCUGACUCCUUGAGAGUCCUGAAGGAACGUUGAAGACGACGACGUUGAUAGGCCGGGUGUGUAAGCGCAGCGAUGCGUUGAGCUAACCGGUACUAAUGAACCGUGAGGCUUAACC
rnacentral:rRNA from 1 species